GUGCUAUCACUCCGCAGCACAUAUACUAAAAUUGGAACGAUACAGAGACGAUUAGCAUGGCCCCUGCGUAAGGAUGACACGCAAAUUUGUGACCCAAAAAGAAAAAAA